rnacentral:rRNA from 1 species
GCAGUCGAACGGAACUGUUUUGAAAGAUUUCUUCGGAAUGAAUUUGAUUUAGUUUAGUGGCGGACGGGUGAGUAACGCGUGAGUAACCUGCCUUCAAGAGGGGGAUAACAUUCUGAAAAGAAUGCUAAUACCGCAUGACAUAUCGGAACCACAUGGUUCUGAUAUCAAAGAUUUUAUCGCUUGAAGAUGGACUCGCGUCCGAUUAGUUGGUGAGGUAACGGCUCACCAAGACCGCGAUCGGUAGCCGGACUGAGAGGUUGAACGGCCACAUUGGGACUGAGACACGGCCCAGACUCCUACGGGAGGCAGCAGUGGGGGAUAUUGCGCAAUGGGGGCAACCCUGACGCAGCAACGCCGCGUGAAGGAUGAAGGUUUUCGGAUUGUAAACUUCUUUUAUUAAGGACGAAAAAUGACGGUACUUAAUGAAUAAGCUCCGGCUAACUACGUGCCAGCAGCCGCGGUAAUACGUAGGGAGCAAGCGUUGUCCGGAUUUACUGGGUGUAAAGGGUGCGUAGGCGGCUUUGCAAGUCAGAUGUGAAAUCUAUGGGCUCAACCCAUAAACUGCAUUUGAAACUGUAGAGCUUGAGUGAAGUAGAGGCAGGCGGAAUUCCCCGUGUAGCGGUGAAAUGCGUAGAGAUGGGGAGGAACACCAGUGGCGAAGGCGGCCUGCUGGGCUUUAACUGACGCUGAGGCACGAAAGCGUGGGUAGCAAACAGGAUUAGAUACCCUGGUAGUCCACGCUGUAAACGAUGAUUACUAGGUGUGGGGGGUCUGACCCCUUCCGUGCC